GAGAGAGAGAGAAAGGAAAAGACAGAUAUAGAGGGAAAAGAGAGCGCGGGAGAGGCACACAGCUUUUUAGAGAUCUUGAUGGCGCGUCCGGCGACUCCAAGGCGUGAAAGAAGGCGCAAGGCGCGCAUUUUUGCAGGAGCUAAGGGAUCGCGGCGGAGCAGGGGAGAUGCGCCUAGAGAUCGGUCUGUUUGCUUAUUCAUGUGAGACGAGUCCCUCCGUGCGCGGCGCGGCGCCCGCCCGCUUGUCCUGUGACAGCCGACACCCAUGGGAGAAAAGGGAAUCGGACCUGAAACCUGACAAGUGUUCGGUCUCACCGGAAGCCUCACCUCUGGUUUCCUCUUGCAGCAGGUGGCGAAGGUGCCAAGUGACGCGCCGAAUCACACCGGGCCCGGGAGAACGGGAAGAUCGGGAAAUGUGGAUUUCACCGGGGGCCGAAACAGGAUGCAAAAAGAAAAAAAAGAAAAAUAAUCCACCUCCACCUAAUGUCAAAAUUGAAAA